rnacentral:lncRNA from 1 species
CAUCAUCUACCCCAAAGGAUCAGUGCCAAGGGACCAACGGAUUGACUGGUUAAAGAGAUUCUGGCACCGUAGAGCUGGCGACCCAUCCCAGAAGGCCCGGAACAUCCUUCCUCUACACCCGGAUUCCUCCUUCCUCCUUUGGAAGUAGCAGUUUAGAAAAGACAUUCUCACCUCUAGAUAUACACUGCAACUGCUGCAGCACCAAAUCAAAGCUUCCCUCGUGACCAUUUCAUCUUCUUCUUCUAAUUAAAUGGGAAUAUUUAAAUUCUACAUAUAGCCCAAUUUAAGCAGGA